AAUCAACGCUGGCGGCGUGCCUAACACAUGCAAGUCGAACGCGAAAGCCCCGCAAGGGGUAAGUAGAGUGGCAAACGGGUGAGUAACGCGUGGGUGACCUGCCUCCGAGCGGGGGAUAACGUCCCGAAAGGGACGCUAAUACCGCAUAACAUCCUGCUUUUUAACAAGCGGAGAUCAAAGCUGGGGAUCGCAAGACCUAGCACUCGAAGAGGGGCCCGCGUCUGAUUAGCUAGUUGGNGGGGUAACGGCUCACCAAGGCGACGAUCAGUAUCCGGCCUGAGAGGGCGGACGGACACACUGGGACUGAGACACGGCCCAGACUCCUACGGGAGGCAGCAGUGGGGAAUUGUUCGCAAUGGGCGCAAGCCUGACGACGCAACGCCGCGUGGAGGAUGAAGAUCUUCGGGUCGUAAAACUCCUUUCGAUCGAGACGAAUGGCCUCCGGGUGAACAAUCCGGAGGAGUGACGGUACCGAGAGAAGAAG
rnacentral:rRNA from 1 species